rnacentral:rRNA from 1 species
CCUACGGGUGGCACCAGUGGGGAAUAUUGGGCAAUGGGCGGAAGCCUGACCCAGCGACGCCGCGUGAGGGAAGAAGGCCUUUGGGUCGUAAACCUCUGUUGUAUGGGAAGAAGGAAGUGACGGUACCAUACGAGGAAGUCCCGGCUAACUACGUGCCAGCAGCCGCGGUAAUACGUAGGGGACGAGCGUUGUCCGGAAUUACUGGGCGUAAAGGGCGCGCAGGCGGAUAUUUAAGUCAGCUGUUAAAGUCAUGGGCUCAACUCAUGGAUGCGGUUGAAACUGGGUAUCUAGAGUGCUGGAGAGGUAGGCGGAAUUCCCGGUGUAGCGGUGAAAUGCGUAGAUAUCGGGAAGAACACCAGUGGCGAAGGCGGCUUACUGGCCAGCAACUGACGCUGAGGCGCGAAAGCCAGGGGAGCGAACGGGAUUAGAUACCCUUGUAGUC